CCUUUGACCACUGUAGAGAUACAGCUUUCUUCGGGGACAAAGUGACAGGUGGUGCAUGGUUGUCGUCAGCUCGUGUCGUGAGAUGUUGGGUUAAGUCCCGCAACGAGCGCAACCCUUAUGACUAGUUGCCAGCAUUUAGUUGGGCACUCUAGUAAGACUGCCGGUGACAAACCGGAGGAAGGUGGGGAUGACGUCAAAUCAGCAUGCCCCUUAUGACCUGGGCUACACACGUGCUACAAUGGUCGGUACAACGAGUUGCGAACCCGCGAGGGUAAGCUAAUCUCUUAAAGCCGAUCUCAGUUCGGAUUGUAGCUGCAACUCGCCUACAUGAAGCCGGAAUGCUAGUAAUCGCGGAUCAGCACGCCGCGGUGAAUACGUUCCCGGGCCUUGUACACACCGCCCGUCACACCAUGAGAGUUUGUAACACCCGAAGUCGGUGGGGUAACCCUUUUAGGGAACUAGCCGCCUAAGGUGGGACAGAUGAUUGGGGUGAAGUCGUAACAAGGUAGCCGUAGGAGAACCUGCGGCUGGAUCACCUCCUUUCUAAGGAA
rnacentral:rRNA from 2 species